rnacentral:lncRNA from 1 species
UGGUAUCCAAAUGGCAUGAUACCCAUGGCCUCUGAUUGGUGACACAAAAAUCAUGCUAAUAAUAAGAGAGUUAAGCUUUUAGAUACUGUGUAUAAUGUGAAUAAGAUAAAAUCCAUACUUUUAAGUUCAAAAAAAAAAAUCCAUACUUUAAUAUAUAUUUCUUGAGAGAUCUCCGUAUCAAUCUGAUUACAUAUAAACUUUAGGUUUACCCUUUUAAAUACGACCGUCAAAGAAGGCGAAUACGAUUCUUCUAAAGUUCUGUCUUUGUAAAGUCUCUUUCUUUAAAAC